rnacentral:rRNA from 1 species
GACGAACGCUGGCGGCGUGCCUAAUACAUGCAAGUCGAGCGGACAGACGGGAGCUUGCUCCCUGAUGUUAGCGGCGGACGGGUGAGUAACACGUGGGUAACCUGCCUGUAAGACUGGGAUAACUCCGGGAAACCGGGGCUAAUACCGGAUGGUUGUCUGAACCGCAUGGUUCAGACAUAAAAGGUGGCUUCGGCUACCACUUACAGAUGGACCCGCGGCGCAUUAGCUAGUUGGUGAGGUAACGGCUCACCAAGGCAACGAUGCGUAGCCGACCUGAGAGGGUGAUCGGCCACACUGGGACUGAGACACGGCCCAGACUCCUACGGGAGGCAGCAGUAGGGAAUCUUCCGCAAUGGACGAAAGUCUGACGGAGCAACGCCGCGUGAGUGAUGAAGGUUUUCGGAUCGUAAAGCUCUGUUGUUAGGGAAGAACAAGUGCCGUUCAAAUAGGGCGGCACCUUGACGAUACCUAACCAGAAAGCCACGGCUAACUACGUG